rnacentral:rRNA from 1 species
GAUGAACGCUGGCGGCGUGCCUAAUACAUGCAAGUCGAGCGAACGGACGAGAAGCUUGCUUCUCUGAUGUUAGCGGCGGACGUGUGAGUAACACGUGGAUAACCUACCUAUAAGACUGGGAUAACUUCGGGAAACCGGAGCUAAUACCGUAUAAUAUUUUGAACCGCAUGGUUCAAAAGUGAAAGACGGUCUUGCUGUCACUUAUAGAUGGAUCCGCGCUGCAUUAGCUAGUUGGUAAGGUAACGGCUUACCAAGGCAACGAUGCAUAGCCGACCUGAGAGGGUGAUAGGCCACACUGGAACUGAGACACGGUCCAGACUACUACGGGAGGCAGCAGUAGGGAAUCUUCCGCAAUGGGCGAAAGCAUGACGGAGCAACGCCGCGUGAGUGAUGAAGGUCUUCGGAUCGUAAAACUCUGUUAUUAGGGAAGAACAUAUGUGUAAGUAACUGUGCACAUAUUGACGGUACCUAAUCAGAAAGCCACGGCUAACUACGUG